rnacentral:rRNA from 1 species
ACGGCCCUAUGGGUUGUAAACUGCUUUUGUAUGGGGAUAAAGUUAGGGACGUGUCCCUAUUUGCAGGUACCAUACGAAUAAGGACCGGCUAAUUCCGUGCCAGCAGCCGCGGUAAUACGGAAGGUCCAGGCGUUAUCCGGAUUUAUUGGGUUUAAAGGGAGCGUAGGCUGGAGAUUAAGUGUGUUGUGAAAUGUAGACGCUCAACGUCUGAAUUGCAGCGCAUACUGGUUUCCUUGAGUACGCACAACGUUGGCGGAAUUCGUCGUGUAGCGGUGAAAUGCUUAGAUAUGACGAAGAACUCCGAUUGCGAAGGCAGCUGACGGGAGCGCAACUGACGCUUAAGCUCGAAGGUGCGGGUAUCGAACAGGAUUAGAUACCCUGGUAGUCCGCACAGUAAACGAUGGAUGCCCGCUGUUGGUACCUGGUAUCAGCGGCUAAGCGAAAGCAUUAAGCAUCCCACCUGGGGAGUACGCCGGCAACGGUGAAACUCAAAGGAAUUGACGGGGGCCCGCACAAGCGGAGGAACAUGUGGUUUAAUUCGAUGAUACGCGAGGAACCUUACCCGGGCUUGAAUUGCAGAGGAAGGAUUUAGAGAUAAUGACGCCCUUCGGGGUCUCUGUGAAGGUGCUGCAUGGUUGUCGUCAGCUCGUGCCGUGAGGUGUCGGCUUAAGUGCCAUAACGAGCGCAACCCCUGUCUUUAGUUGCCAUCAGGUGAUGCUGGGCACUCUGGAGAUACUGCCACCGUAAGGUGUGAGGAAGGUGGGGAUGACGUCAAAUCAGCACGGCCCUUACGUCCGGGGCUACACACGUGUUACAAUGGCCGGUACAGAGGGACGGUGUAAUGCAAAUUGCAUCAAAUCUUGAAAGCCGGUCCCAGUUCGGACUGGGGUCUGCAACCCGACCCCACGAAGCUGGAUUCGCUAGUAAUCGCGCAUCAGCCAUGGCGCGGUGAAUACGUUCCCGGGCCUUGUACACACCGCCCGUCAAGCCAUGAAAGCCGGGGGUGCCUGAAGUCCGUGACCGCAAGGAUCGGCCUAGGGCAAAACUGGUGAUUGGGGCUAAGUCGUAACAAGGUAGCCGUACCGGAAGGUGCGGCUG